GAUGAACGCUAGCGACAGGCUUAACACAUGCAAGUCGAGGGGCAGCGGGGGUGAUGGCUUGCCAUCACCUGCCGGCGACCGGCGCACGGGUGAGUAACACGUAUGCAACCUGCCCCUGUCAGGGGGACAACCCGCCGAAAGGCGGGCUAAACCCGCGUACAUGCCACCGGGGCAUCCCGGAGGCAGGAAAGGCUUCGGCCGGACAGGGAUGGGCAUGCGGCGCAUUAGGCAGUAGGCGGGGUAACGGCCCACCUAACCGACGAUGCGUAGGGGUUCUGAGAGGAAGGUCCCCCACACUGGUACUGAGACACGGACCAG
rnacentral:rRNA from 1 species